rnacentral:rRNA from 1 species
UACGUAGGGGGCAAGCGUUGUCCGGAUUUAUUGGGCGUAAAGCGCUCGCAGGCGGUCCGAUGCGUCGUGCGUGAAAGACCCCGGCUCAACUGGGGAGGGUCGUGCGAUACGGGCGGACUGGAGGCCAGUAGGGGGAUGCGGAAUUCCGGGUGUAGUGGUGGAAUGCGUAGAGAUCCGGAGGAACACCAGCGGCGAAGGCGGCAUCCUGGACUGGUCCUGACACUCAGGAGCGAAAGCGUGGGGAGCGAUCCGG